rnacentral:rRNA from 1 species
CAAGUCGAACGAGGCCCAUCCAGUAGCAAUACUGGGGAAGGCCUAGUGGCGAACGGGUGAGUAACACGUGAGAAACCUGCCCUGGUCUCCGGGAUAACAGUCGGAAACAACUGCUAAUACCGGAUGCCGUCGGAGCCUCGCAUGGGGCGCUGACGAAAGGGUCCACUGGACCAGGAGGGUCUCGCGACCUAUCAGCUUGUUGGUGGGGUAACGGCCUACCAAGGCAUCGACGGGUAGCUGGUCUGAGAGGAUGAUCAGCCACACUGGGACUGAGACACGGCCCAGACUCCUACGGGAGGCAGCAGUGGGGAAUCUUGCGCAAUGGGCGAAAGCCUGACGCAGCAACGCCGCGUGCGGGAUGAAGGCCUUCGGGUUGUAAACCGCUUUCAGAAGGAACGAAACUGACGGUACUUUCAGAAGAAGGUGCGGCCAACUACGUGCCAGCAGCCGCGGUGACACGUAGGCACCAAGCGUUGUCCGGAUUUAUUGGGCGUAAAGAGCUCGUAGGCGGUUCGAUAAGUCGGGUGUGAAAUCUUUGGGCUUAACCCAAAGCGUGCAUUCGAUACUGUCGUGACUAGAGUACGGUAGGGGAGUGGGGAAUUCCUAGUGUAGCGGUGAAAUGCGCAGAUAUUAGGAGGAACACCGGUGGCGAAGGCGCCACUCUGGGCCGAAACUGACGCUGAGGAGCGAGAGCGUGGGUAGCAAACAGGAUUAGAUACCCUGGUAGUCCACGCCGUAAACGUUGGGCACUAGGUGUGGGUCUCAACCAACGGGAUCCGCGCCGUCGCUAACGCAUUAAGUGCCCCGCCUGGGGAGUACGGCCGCAAGGUUAAAACUCAAAGGAAUUGACGG